rnacentral:rRNA from 1 species
GAUGAACGCUAGCGGCAGGCCUAUCACAUGCAAGUCGAGGGGUAACGUGAGUGCUUGCACUUGACGACGACCGGCGCACGGGUGCGGAACGCGUAUGGAACCUACCUUUAUCAGGGAGAUAGCCCAUGGAAACGUGGAUUAAUAUCCCAUAGUAUUAUUUUAUCGCCUGAUAGAAUAAUUAAAGAAUUUCGGAUAGAGAUGGCCAUGCGUAUCAUUAGCUAGUAGGCGAGGUAACGGCUCACCUAGGCGACGAUGAUUAGGGGUCCUGAGAGGGAGAUCCCCCACACUGGUACUGAGACACGGACCAGACUCCUACGGGAGGCAGCAGUGAGGAAUAUUGGGCAAUGGAGGCAACUCUGACCCAGCCAUGCCGCGUGCAGGAAGACGGCCCUACGGGUUGUAAACUGCUUUUAUACAGGAAGAACACCACCCACGUGUGGGUGACUGACGGUACUGUAAGAAUAAGGACCGGCUAACUCCGUG